rnacentral:misc_RNA from 1 species
GUGAGAGUCCACAGUAGCUGAAAUUUCCCGUCGGACAGAGUAGGUAGUUUUGUGCGCCCAUAAAUCUCGAGCAUCAACGACUUUUGAUGAAUCAAGUCUAACAUCAGCCCAACUGGCGGUAAUAGAUGCCGGUGACGAUCCACGGUUCCACAGGACAACGACGACCCUUCCACCACUGAGUGGACCCGCCCAAACCUCCUUAUCUCCACUCCUCACUUUCCUCCCUUGGA